CCCAGGUAGGUGCCCUUGACCAGAAAUCGAACCCACACCCUUCGGUGAGCAGACGCUCUGACCACGGACCCCGCCAGGACCAGUGGCUGUUCUACAUGCGGCGUUUGCGUUACAGACGGUGACACCGAAGGAGGGACUUGUACGUGCUUCUGACGAGGAGGCGCGGAGUUGACGGAGACUCACUGUCCCGCACGGACGGGCCACGUCGCUGUGCUGCCUCUGCCCCCGCCUGGAACUGGUCCGAGUGAUGCCCCUGUGCGAGCUGCGGCGGCAGCCAAGCCCAGAGGACCCAGGAGACGGAAUCGGAGCUUCACCUUCACUCUGUCCCCGCGGCACAGCCGCUGCCCCGCGUCCCGGGAAGGUCACUCAGCGACCUCUGCUUCCCGACCCGCUGCUGCUGCGCUCGCAGGAAACGGAACCGCUGGCUUUCCUGUCCUGGGCAAACGGUCAAGGUGCCUUUUCCUGUCCUCUCGGUCUUUUAUCGUUUCCAUUGUGCUUCCAACCCUGGCACCGUCUUCAGGAAGGCCUGAGUCCUGUGCCCAGCGCUCGCCCUCGCUGAGCCCCCCUGAGCCCAUGCCGAGCCCUUGCCAAGCCCACGCUGAACCCCCCUAGGCCCCCCUGAGCCCACGCCGAGCUCAGGCCGAGCCCAUGCUGAGCCCAUGCUGAGGCCCCCCCUCACCCCGCUGCAGGAGCCUCCAGCCCGCCCGCCAGGGAAGCACCUGACCUUGACAGGUCACUGCGAGGUGCCAGGCACAGACCUAAGGUGGCGUUUUGCACAACCACCUCCCUCCCGCCCUGCGCUGUCCUCCCGGUGGCCGUGGCCACCCUCCCGGAGACGAGGAGGCACAGAGAGGCGAGGGGCCUGCGGGCCACGCAGCGGGGUCUGUGCCAGCUUCCAGAGGGCGCCUGUCCGCUGCCCAGGAGCGUGGCCGGGACGGAGGGAGCUGCGUCCCCCAGUCCACGGAGGGGCCUCUGCUCCAGGCGGCAGGGGCGGCGGGGCUUCCUCGCCCACGUCUCACCCACCAGAUUCUCUCCUGUCGGUCAGAGCCGGCUCCUGUUUUCCUUAACAGGAGGGGGAGUCAGUGCGGCCGCACAUCCUACAGCCCAGGAGGCUGACGAUGAGGCCUAGACAGCAGCGGCUCGGACAGGAGGGCCCGCCUCCGGCGGGGCCACGGGAGGGAGCGCGGUGCUGGGGUCCCGGGGAGUGUGUGUGUGUGUGUGUGGGGGGGGGGCGUGAAGGGCAGCAGCUCUGAGGCGAGUGCCCGAGCACGUGGUCCCCCUGGCACCAGGCGGCCCCGUCCUCAACCAGGAGAGCACCUCAGUGCGGCUGCACUCGGUGAAUUCCGUCUUCUGGCCUCCGUUCCGGGCCUGUCUCUCUUCUUGUCUGUCUGUCUGUCUCUCACACACACAACCAGACUCUCACGAAGUGUCUGUAUCCUUCGGCGCAGACGCAAGGCGGGUUCCCAUUCCACGCCCAUCAGUGUCGCCACCACAUCCACGGCAUCAGAGGAAAACCCCACGACCCCAUCGCUCGAGGGAGAAACGCACGGGCAGAACCCAGCGCCCCCCAGGGCAGCCUCGGGGAGCUGGGCCGGCACUUCUUCUCUGGGUGACCAUCUGCAAGCCCACGGCUCAGGCACCCCGACGGGAGACGCCAGGGCUCCCACAGGACGCCCAGGAGGGACGCCCCUUCAUCACCUCUGCUUGGUGUUCCGUCGGCAACUAAAACAAGUGCACGGCCCCCAGGUCUGCUCAAGCCGCACGGACGAGAGCAUGAACCACUCCUCCCGGGUCCCAGCCAGUGUCGGACGGACGGACUCCCGCGGACGCUGCCCGUGCCGUCCCCAGGGGAGACACGCUGCCCACCAUGUCUUUAGCCACAAGUUCUCUUUUUUCUGUAGCAUCGCCUUGAGACCAUUUUCCUUAAACAAACAAACAGAAACAGCAUCGCUAACUUUCAGAUUCUCCCAUUAAUGAUGCAACUCGAUGAUGAAGCAAUGGUUUUGCUGACUUUCACCAACUCCUGUCACUUUGUGCUCAGACUCAUUCUCAGAAAUCCACCCUGGCCAACCUCCCAGCCAGCCACAGCGGGUGCCCUGGGUGCAAAGACGGGGAUCAACACUAGGGAACUUGUAGAAAAAAUGUAAAACGGACGGGGGUGGGGGGGGGAGGUCUUGGUGAAACCACAUAACCGGAAGCCUGGACGGGUGUGCACAGCCUCGCCGCCCGGCUCCCGCUCCCCGACCGCCCGCCCAGGUCUCCCGACUUCCCGCUCCCUGAGCAGGAGCAGCCGAGGGGGAGCAGCUGAGCGAGGGCAGCCGAGCGAGGGCAGCUGAGCGAGGGCAGCCGAGCGAGGGGCAUGGCCUGGGGAGGCUGGAGCAGCAGCAGGCCGAGCCCCGAGCUGGCACUGCCCCCGCUGACACGACUCAUCUGCAGAUCCCUGUCGGGUCAGCAAACCCUCAGGAAAACAGCACCUGGACCUGCCGCCGUGGCCGGGGCCACCUGACCUGCAUGGACACCUGGCUGCAGGGAACAUGCCUACUGAGGCCACAGAGCAAACCUGUUCCACAGGCUGUCGGCUGUAAACACUUCAAAACUGCUUCGUCAGAGCCCGUCCUGGCGUCCGCGAGCGCCAUCAGGGCGGCCAGGAGCGGAUGCUAUUUGCUAACGAGUGGGACGGGCCGCCCCGGGCUGCCCCCCCCACCCCCGCAGAUUUCCUUCCCCAGGGUGAGCCCAGGCUCUCGGGCCCAGGCUCUCGGGCUCUCUGUCCCGAGGUCUCAGCAGCGGGAGCGUGUGGUACCUCGCACGUGGGCAGCACAGUCCAGGCUCGGACCUGCUUCCCACCGAACCUCCUCCCCUCUGAGCGAAACGCUGACCCCGGUCCUGAGAGCCACGGCAUGGCCUGCAGAUGCGCCCUCGUCCUGUUCACCGCGGGGGCUGGGGGCGGGGGUCGUUUUGCAGGAUUUGCCACGUGUCUUGGAGGACAUGGAGUUUGCCCACCGGCCUGCGGGUCCUGGUGGCACUGGGACCCCCACCCCGUGCUCCCUGCAGAAGGGCCGCCUCUCUGCAGCCGACUGAGGAGGAGCCAUGACCACUGACUGCGGGGAGUCCCAGCAGGAGGCGGGGCAGACACGCCCCGAAGGCAGACCCCAGAGGACCCCCGGCCUAAACAGGAUCGUUCCCCAAGGCUGGGGGGACGGGAAAGAUGGACGGACGAUGAAGACGACGGCUUGGUCCCCAGAGGCUGUUAGUUAACACUGCGCUGCAACCUUUUCUAAAAUAAACUAGAAAAGAA